CUUCGGGUUUUCAAUCCUAACCUCCUCCUCUAUGAUUCUUAGGAUUCUUCCAUUUCUCCACCCCCGCCCCCAUCUGCCUCUCCUCUUACCUCAAUUUCGUCCGUUUUCGAAACCUCUUAGUUUUUGCCUUUAUUAUUAACGUUACUGAUUUUAGGGCUUUACAUUUCUUAACUGAAAAUUAAGCUUAUUUGCGAUUGUAUAAAUAACGUAGUGCUUCAGUUUUGAUGGAGCACAGAUGACGUUUCUUUUCAAUUGUUGAUAGGAGGAGUACAAAGCUAUCAAGUGUUGAGCAGAAAUCAGAAGGACAUGGUGGUGCACAGACAAAGUUAAAAGCCCAACCUUUAAAUAAGAAGGUAA